UCCCAAAGUAUGUCCUUGCCACUGUCAAAGCACUGCCCCAAUCAAUUGACUCAUACAAUUUCUAUAAACACCACACUGGCUGUAACUGACUCUAAGGAAGGUGUAUUAAUAAGGUAACAACUUCAGAGCUUUAUUUUAUUAUUUUCCUCUCUUCAUAUUAUAAGUCCUUUUAUUCUAGCGCCUCCUAGCGGAACGUUAAUCUUGCAUCUAAAGGGAGAGGGGGGGACUAGUUUUGUGAGACACACGCACGGAAGUAAGGAGGAAAACACACGUAGCUCUGAAAUUAAGAGGCUCUAUAAACGGGAUAAUUAAGCACCUAGCUGGAACGGGAACAAGCUCUUACGGUGUUUCAUGAAGAAACGGAAGGUAUAUUUGUGUUCAGAACAAGGCUGACGGCUGAACGUAAAUAAAAGCUUCUGGAAACAUCA